UUUUUCCCGCGCGCGACGGUGGUGAAC
rnacentral:sRNA from 1 species